GGCUCAGUGGGAAUGGAAUGCACUCAGCACUUAGCAAGACGAGGUCCCUAGUGUUUCUGCAACCACACAAGUCUACUUCCUGUUGUGCACCUGAUGUGUGACUGACUCAAACUGACAUGCAACUUCCACUAUAUUAAAAAAGACUGAAGAAACUCUUAGGAGGACAGCUUUUCAGAGAGCAGAUAGAAAACUGGGCAGAACAGAACUUUAAACUCCUCUGAUACAGUAAAUCACUGUUUGCAAAACACCUACAUUUAAGAGGAUAAUUAAAAGAGAAACCUGUAAAGGCAACAUUCCUUCAAGCGAGUUGGUGCUGCAACGUGCUGGUCUGCGGAUUUAAAGAUCUUAAGGUGUUAGCCAAUUGAACAGAUAUUCAGCUGUUCGCAAUUGAAUAACAAGGACUAGGAGAAGGAUGCGAGCUGACUCCUCCUCCAUGUUUCCAGCUGAGUUUACGGGCACCCAGGCUCUUCUUUACAAGAUCCCUAAGACCUCUGGCGAGAUAGAGUCAGUGCCAUUUGACUCACCAGCUCUCUGGAGACUACCAACGAGAGCUAAACAGACCACAGUCUGAGAAUCACUAGUAGAGGCUACACCGAAGGUUUGCUAUUCAAAUGGGUGCCUAAUGUUAGGCCCCUAGGAUGAGAUUCUCAUUCCCACUUCCCAG